rnacentral:rRNA from 1 species
UACGUAGGGGGCAAGCGUUGUCCGGAAUUACUGGGCGUAAAGCGCGCGCAGGCGGCGAUCUGCGUCUGGGGUGAAAGCCCGGAGCUCAACUCCGGGAUUGCCUUGGAUACGGGGUCGCUUGAGGAUCGGAGAGGCAAGGGGAAUUCCACGUGUAGCGGUGAAAUGCGUAGAGAUGUGGAGGAACACCUGUGGCGAAGGCGCCUUGCUGGCCGAUUUCUGACGCUGAGGCGCGAAAGCGUGGGGAGCAAACAGG